AAAUCAGAAAAUAAAAUACAAAAUAAGUAAAUAAAAUACAAAAAAAGAGAGGAAGAUAAAAGAAAUUGGGAGUAAAAAAAAUGGGAAGAACCUUCCCCAAAAUAUUUUUCCCCAAAUCAUUUCUCCCACAUAAGACCUUUCCCCCAAAAUAUUUCGUCACCUAAAAACUUCCCCAAAAAGUAUUUCCUCACAUAACACCUUCUCCCCAAAUAAAACUCCUCCACAUAACACCCCACCCCAUACCCCUCUAUAUAAACACACAACAAAUACAAAAAAAAAGAAAGAAAAAAAGGAGCAGAAGAAUUCCUUCGUUUCCUCUCUAUACCUAAAUCCACAAUAAAGCUACAAACAUAAAAUCAAUUUGGAUAGAAGGAAAAUGGAUAAGGUGAGGGUACAACUGUAGGUACAGGGAAAGACGAUGGGAUCUUAAGCAACUCGUUGGAUCUGGCCGGAGAUACAAUUUUUCGAACGACUCUCGGUGCCAUCGAGUUAGAUCUAACCAGUCUCUAUUGUUACGCCUGAAGCAGAGGUGAUUUGAGGUCCGUUUGGGAUCGCCGACGUAGUUUUUGAUCCGGUCAAGGUCCCGUUCAGUUAACCAUUUUUGCGAUUCAGAGAUUUUAAGGUCAAUCAAUUUUCACCUUCUUCAUUGUAGUUGCUGAAAUUUAAUCGAAAGUUUGCACAUUAUGGUCCAUCUAAACUUAUCUCUUUUAUAUGUUUGAUGUCUCUGUUUGCAUAUGUUUUUUUACAUGGCGUUGGCUUGUUAUCUAGUCCGCUCGUCCUCAGUCACGCACACCGAUCCUGUUUGUUGUUUCAUAUAUUUGUUAGAAUUUUUCAGCAUUCGGAUUAGGCUUAAAUCUUCCAAAAUAAGUGUUGAGUUUCUGGUUUAGUUUGUUAGAUUUUCGUGUUUCCUUUCACUCAUGUCCUAUCUUGAUUAAAUACAGUAGCACCACAUUAUUUUUUAUGCAAUGGCAACGCACGAGUACAAUUUCUUUUGUUAUCAAGUUUGCGUAUGUUCAAUAUUUAAUUUUGUUAGAUUUUACCCUUUCGGUUUUUUUAGAGUUCCUCAUGUUAUGUUUUUAAGUGAAAUUACAAUGAAGUGAGAGUUCACGCCAAUUAUAUUGAAACAUUAAGUUUGAAGUUGGACCGUGUUUGAACAUAAGGUUGAUCUAUUUGUGUAAGUGGCAUGUCAAUGGUUUUAGAAUCGUUGGCUACGUGAAUAGCAUGUUAAUGGCAUCAUUGGUUAGUGUAAAUGAAUUUUCUAUGAAACGCAUCUCUUUAUGGAAGUAUAGCAGAAUGUAGUUCUAUUUUAAAUUAGAAUAAGAGGUAUAAUGCAACGAACAAAAAUAACAAUUGCACGACCCUUAUUUGAUUAAUCUUAUUUUGUCCUUAGAAUUGAGGUGUGCCAUUUAGUAAAUUCCAUGGCCCUCGCAAAUUACAACGUGCUAGACGCUAUUAGGAGCGACAUUAAUAAAUUACAUUCCUAAAUACGAGUGGACAUUUUAUGCGGUCCAAAUCUAAAUCCUAAAACGUUGAAUAGAGUGUGUCUAGGAUUGCGAGUUCAUUUCAUGCGGCGUAAUUCGAAAACACAUGUUAAACGACGUUCACUUUCUCAAAUAAAUAAAUAAAUAAAUAAAUAUAUAUAUAUAUUUAAUAAAAAUGGUUAAAGAUAAAAUUGGCACAUAGACAUUUCAUGUAUUAAAAUCAGUUUUUAGCCAUUCAUAGCAAUUUAAGUGACCGUGCUAGAACCACGGGAUCCGAGGGUGCCUAACACCUUCCCUCGGAUCAACAGAAUUCCUUAUUCAGAAUUUCUGGUUUGCAGACUCCAGUUGGGAAGUCGAACAUUUUCCUCGGAUGGGAUUCAAGCUAAAUCGGCGAUUUGGGACACCAAACGCCAAACCUUUCCUAAGUGGCGACUCUGAAUAAAUAAUUCCGAUCCGAAUAAGGUCACUUUUAAUGGAAAAUUCCCUUAUACAUUAUCCUCCGGGGUAGGUAUGUAAAAAGGAGGUGUGACAACUGUUUGUUCCGGUACAAAGAUAACAAACGAAGAUAAACUAGAAGAGACUCGGUCAUGCGGACGCCAACAAGGCUACCUCGAAAAUCUCUGGACUGAAGUCAGCUCGCAACGCUCCUACUGUGGUCCACAAGCUGCUCCGGCUCCAUAAUCUAUGCAAAACGAUACGAAAGUAUAGCAAAAGCACAAACGACCCCUGGGAGGGGGACAUGCUUUUGGGAGUAACAGAUAAAAUAGAACGACCGGAAUAUAUAAGGAAAACUACAAUUGAUUCCUUCUAACACAGAAUAUAUUAUCGGUGCGCCACGCGAUCCCAUUUCAUGAUGUAUAAGUGGUCGGCGUGCCACACGAUCCCAUUUCGUAAUAUAUAAGUGGCCGGCAUGCCACACGAUCCCAUUUAAUAAUAUAUAAGUGGUCGACAUGUCACACGAUCCCAUUUCAUAAUAUAUAAGUGGUCGGCACGCCACACGAUUCCAUUUCAUAAUAUAUACAAUGGUUUCCCGGCAAGAGACAAGUAUCAAUUCAACUAUCCCAGCAAGGAAGAAUACAAAUAAACAGUUAAUUUCCGACAAGGGAGCAACAACAAUAAUUUGCACGUCCCAGCAAGGUAAUAAUUGCAUCUCUUUCUCUUUCGCUCAUUUCUUACUUCCUAAUCAUGUCAUAAUUCGAGUCAACGCUCCAAGGAGUUUACAAAUCGUAUUUCCUUUUCAUACUCUUCACAUUAUAUAGAAACCAUAAAUUAAACAAGGAAGAGUUACUACAGAAUCUCAAUAAGCACAAAUAAGGACUCACGGUCAUGCUAGACACCGGUGAAUAGAUACUUGUCAACAUGCCUAUACACCAUACUCAACAUUUAGCAAUUAAUAAAUAAUACUCUAAUCUUAUUCCCUCGAGCCAAAAUUAGAUCAAACACUUACCUCGAAUGCUCCAAAAUCAACUCAAGACUCUAGUACAGCUUUACCCCUUGAAUUCGGCUCCAACUCAGUCAAAUCUAUGAAAUAAUGACUUUACAAUAUUAAUAAUAGCUUAAAAAAAUUAAAUCCAAUGCCUAAAUAUGGAUUUCUAAGAUUUCUUCCCAAAAUUCCAAAAAUAGAUCCCGGGCCCGCUUGGUCAAAACUCAAGGUUUGAACUAAUUCCACGUCACCCAUUCCCCCACGAGCCCGGAUAUUCAAUUUGUUUUCAAAUUUGACCCCAAAACGAGGUCUAAAUGAAAGAAAAUUGAAAAGCCCUAAUUCUACUCAUUUCCCCCAACUCUUACCAUAAACUACAUGAUUUAGGUCUAUGAAUUUGAUAAAUGAUGAUAGAAUAUGAAGAAAACGAGUCAGAUAAUACUUACCCAAGAAGCUUUGGUGAAGAAGAGCUCUAAGAAUCGCAUAUGGGUUGUGGAGAAGAAGAGCUCGUGUGAAAUGGAGUGAUGCUCGUAUCUACUGUUUUGAUUGUUUUAGAAAAACCACAGGGCGGAUUUACUCUAUGCGUUUGCGACAGGGGUGUCGCGUUCGUGAAGAAAGGAGGUUGGGAAGCACCGUGUUCGCGAUAGGUAUGAUGCGAAUGCGAAGAAGGAAGCUGGGGGGGGGGGGGUCAAGGAAUUGGCCUAUGCGAACGCGAGGGGGUAAUAUGCGAACGCAUUGAAGGGAUUACUGGCACUACACGAAUGCGAGAAGGGGGACCACGAACGCGAAGGAGGGGGCGCCAAGGCAGUGCGAACGCGAGCCUGAGGCCGCGAUUUGUAGAACAAAAUGUAUGUGUAAAAUUGCAGAAAAAUCUGAUCCUUUUUCCUAAGUUCAAGACACCCCGAACCACCUCCGAAUCACUCCCGAGCCCUCGGGGCUCUUAUCCAAACACACACACUAACUCAAAAAACAUCUUGCGGACUUAAUCGAGCGAUCAAUUCGCUAAAAUAAUAUCACAAACGACGAAUCAAACCUCAAAUUCAUCACUUUUCAUUCAAACUUAUUAAAUUUCUAACUUUUGAUAUUUAGGUCCGAAAUACGUCAAAUGACGUUCGAUUUCAACCAAAUCACACAGAAACAUAUUAAACCAUGUAUAAGACUUGUACCGGGCGCCGGAGCCAAAAUACAGGCCCGAUACCAACGCUUUCUCAUCCAAUUUUAUUUCAAAUUUUCUUAUUAAUUCCAGAAAAAUAAUUUGUUUAAAAAACUUUAUUUCUCGGGUUCGGGACCUCGGAUUUCGAUUCCGAGCAUAUGCCCGAGUCCCAUAUUUUGAUACGGACCCUCCGGGACCGUCACAUCACGGGUACGAGUUCGUUUACUUAAAAUAUUGACCAAAGUCAAUUUUAAUCAUUUUAAAGCCAAAUUUCAACAAUUUUCACAAAAUUUAACAUAUAAGCUUUCCGACUAUGCGCCUAGACUAUGCACCAAAAUGAAGGCAACUAAAAGUGAGGUUUUCAAGGCCUCGAGAGCACGAAAAAGGUGAAAACAGGUGAUGACCCUUUGGGUUAUCACAUUCUCCACCUCUAAAACAACUCUUCGUCUUCGAACGGAUAAAAGAAAGAAGUACUUAGGUAGGGAAAUAGAUGAGGAUAACGGCUUUGCAUAUCAUACUCGGACUUCCAGGUUGAUGCCUCAGGAGGCUGACCUCUCCACUAAACACUCACUGAAGGAAAACUCUUUGACCUCAACUGUCAAACCUGUCUGUCUAGAAUGGCUACCAGCUCCUCCUCAUAAGAUAGAUCCUUGUCCAACUGGUCAGCGUUGAAAUCUAGCACGUGGGAUGGAUCACCGUGAUACCUUGGAAGCAUAGACACAUGAGAAACUGGUUGCACGGGUGACAAUCUAGGCUGUAAGGCAAGUCUAUUAUCCACCUCUCCCAUACGGUCGAGAAUUUCAAAUGGGCCAAUGUACCUAGAGCUAGGCUUGCACUUCUUCCCAAAUCUCAUCAUGCCCUUCACAGGGUCACACGGAGCAAUAUCAGCUCACCAACCAUAAAAGCCACAUCUGGAACCUUGCAGUCUGCAUAACCAUUCUGUCUAGACUGAGCGGUCUGAAGCCUAUCCUAAAUGAUCUUGACCUUAUCCAAGCCCUCCUGAACUAAAUCUAUACCCAAUAACCGAGCCUCUCCUGGCUCAAACCAUCAAAUCAGAGACCGACAUCGCCUACCAUACAACGCCUCAUAUGGAGCCAUCUGAAUGCUGCACUGGUAGCUAUUGUUGUAGGCAAACUCUGCUAAAGGCAAAAAUUGGUCCCAUGAGCCUCCAAAAUCAUUGACAAAGGCCCGGAGCAUAUCCUCCAAUAUCUGAAUAGUCCGCUCGGACUGACCGUCCGUCUGAGGAUGGAAUGUUGUGCUCAACUCAACUCGGGUGCCCAACUCCUGCUGGACUGCUCUCCAGAAGUACGAGGUAAACUGCGUACCCCUGUCCGAAAUGAUAGAUACCAAAACCCCAUGAAGGUGAUCAAUAUCUCUGAUAUAGAUCUCAGCUAACCUCUCUGAUGAAUAAGUGGCUGCAAUAGGAACAAAAUGUGCUGACUUGGACAACCUAUCAACAAUGACCCAAAUAGCGUCAAACUUCUUCUGAGUCAUUGGAAGUCUAGUACAAAAUUUUUAGUAAUCCUCUCCCACAUCCACUCGAGAAGCUCAAUCCUCUGAAACAAUCCACUAGGUCUCUGAUGCUCGUAUCUAACUUGCUGACAGUUCAAACAUCGAGCCACAUAUGCAACAAUAUCUUUCUUCAUUCUGCGUCACCAAUAGUGCUGCCUCAGAUCCUGAUACAUCUUCGCGACGCUUGGAUGAAUAGAAUACCGAGAACUAUGGGACUCCACUAAGAUCAACUCCAGAAGCCCAUCAAUAUUGGGCUCACAAGCUCGUCCCUACAAUCUCAAAACACCAUAAUCAUCUAAGGUCACUUUCUUGACACCUCCACGCUGCACCGUGUGGGGAUCAUCAAACUGCCAAUCACGAAUACGCUCCAAUAAUGAAGAAGGAGUGACCGUGCAAGAUAACAGUCGGCAAGGUUCAGAAAUAUCCAACCUCACGAAUCGAUUGACCAAGGCCAGAACAUCCAAAGCAAACGGCCUCUGACUGACCGGAAUAUAAGCAAGACUACCUAUGCUGGCAGACUUUUUACUCAAUGCAUCGGCCACCAUAUUGUCCUUUCCCGGGUAAUACAAGAUAGUAACAUCAUAGUCUUUCAACAACUCCAACGACCUCCUUUGCCUCACAUUCAGCUCCUUUUGCUUGAACAAGUAUUGAAGACUCCUGUGAUCAGUGUACACCUCACACAUCACAUCAUAUAGAUAGUGCCUCCAAAUUUUCAAAGCAUGAACAAUGGCUGCCAACUCUAGAUCAUGAACCGGAUAAUUCUUCUUGUGAAUCUUCAACUUCCUUGAAACAUAGGCAAUGACUCUGCCAUCCUGCAUCAAUACUGCACCAAGCCCAAUACGAGAAGCAUCAUAAUAGACGUUAUAAGGCCCUGAAAAUGUAGGCAAAACCAAUACCAGUGUCGUAGUCAGAGCUGUCUUGAGCCUCUGGAAGCUCGCCUCACACUCAUCUGACCAUCUGAAAUAGGCACCCUUCUGGGUCAAUCUGGUUAUUGGGGUUGUAGUAGAUGAAAAUCCCUCCACGAACCGAUGGUAGUAGCCUGGUAACCCUAAGAAACUCUGGUCUCUAUAGCUGGUGCUGGUCGAGGCCAGUUCUUGACUGCCUCAAUCUUCUUUGCAUCCACCUAAAUAUCCUCUGCUAAAAUAAUGUGACCCAAAAAUGCAACCGAACUCAACCAGAACUCGCACUUUUAAAACUUUGCAUAUAAUUGACGAUCCUUCAAAGUCUAAAGAACCACUAUGAGGUGCUGCUCGUGCUCUCCUGACUACGAGAGUGUAUCAGAAUAUCAUCAAUGAAACUAUCACGAACAAGUCCAAAUAAGACCAGAACACUCGGUUCAUCAACUCCAUAAAUGUUGUUGGGGCAUUGAUCAACCCAAAGACUAAAAAUUCAUAAUGCCCAUACCGAGUGCGGAAUAUUGUCUUAGGGACAUCAGACGCCCUAAUCCUCAGCUGAUAAUAGCCAGAUCUCAAAUAUAUCUUUGAAAUUACCUUCGUACCCUGAAUUUGGUCAAAUAAAUCGUCGAUCCUUGGUAGUGGAUACUUGUUCUUUAUCGUCAUCUUGUUCAAUUGCCGGUAAUUAAUUGGGACAACCGAAAGGGUCAUCACUUGUCUUUCUCUAUUUUCCGCACUUCCAAGGCCUUAAAAACCUCACUUUUAGUUUCCUUGAUUUGUGUGCGUAGUCCGACGCAUAGACGGAAAGCUUAAAUGUGAAUUCUGUGAAAACUUUGAUGAAUUUUGAUAUUAAUAUGAUUAAAAGUUGACUUUGGUCAACAUUUUGGGUAAACAGACCCGGAUCGGCAAUGUGACAGUUCUAGAGGUCCGUAGAUAAAUAGGGAACUCGGAUGUAUUCUCGGAAUCAAAAUCUGAGGUCCCAAGUCCGAGAAAUGAAUUUUUGAAAAAACUUAUUUUCUGAAAAUGAUAUGGAAAGUUGAAAAGAAAAUGAGUUAGAAAAUAUUGCUAUCGGGCCCGUAUUUCGGUUCCGGCGCCCUGUAUAGGUCUUAAAUAGGGUUUAAGCACUUUUUGUGAAAUUUGGUCGAGAGCUGACGUCGUUUGACGUGGUUCGGACCUAAAUAUCUAAUGUUUGAAAGUUUAUGAAGUUUGAAUGAAACGUGAUGAUUUUGAGGUUGAUCCCUAAUUUAUUAUUUUGGCGAUGUGAUUGCACGAGAAAGUCCAUAGGAUAUUUUUGAGAUUCUACGUAUGUUGGUUUGGAGGCUCGAGGGCUCGGGUGAGUUUUAAGUAGGUCCCAGGAGGUCUUAGACUUAAAAGUAUCAGAUAUUGAGGGUCCAGGUGUUGCAGGCCCCCAGCACGGCCGCAAUGCCUUUCUGCGCGGUCUGCGUGGCCAACUUCAGUGGGCCAGUGAAUUCCAGGUCGAGCAGCGCGGCCGCACACCAAAUCAGUGCGGUUAGCGCUGGGUAGGUUUAGAGAGUGAUUUCUUCUUCCCUUUCUCGGCGUGGCCGCGGUACAGUUUUGUGCGGUCCAUGCCAACCUUUAGUAAAGUAUAUAUUCUCGGGAUUUUCAGUCAUUUUUCACUUUCUCAAAACCCAAAACAUAAAAGGCGAUUUUCCUAAUGAUUCUUUUUCUCCAAAACGAGUGGUAAGUGAUUUCUAUCUUACUUUCUUCACUCCUUAACACCUUUAACCUAAUUUAAACUUCAAAACUAAGAUAUUAAUGGAGAAAAUUGGGAAUUUAGGGUAGAGCCUAGGGUUUCAAAAAUUGGGGGUUUUAGACCUCAAUUCGAGGUCCGAUUCUAAUAUAACUUAUAUAUCGAAGCUCAUGGGGGAAUGGGAACCUCGGGUUGGCAUUUUGGGAAUAUUGAGUAAUACUUUGGAAAUUUAUUUUCAUGCAUUCAAAUUGAUCAAGUAGCAUUUGUUAACACAUUCUAGUAAUUUGUGACUAGAUCAGAGCGGUUUGGUGGUGAAUUCGAGGGGUAAAACAAUACUAGAGGGGUGAGUUGAGUUUCGAGUAUUCAAGGUAAGUGUUUGUUCUAAAUUUGGCUUGUGGGAAUAGGUUUAGGAUAUUAUUUACUAAAUCCUAAAUGCGGAGUACGGUAUAUAGGCAUGGUGACGAGUAUCUAUGCACCGAAGUCUAGCAUGAUCGUGAGCCUUAAUUGUGCUUAUCUGGGUCUUUGUGAUACAUCUUCCUUGUUUAAUCGAUAAGUUUCAUAUAAAAUGUGAUGAGUUUGAGGAAUAGUUAUGAAUUGUAAACCCUUGGGAACAUUGGCUUGAACGAUAAGAGAACUAAUGAGUAAGAAAUGAAAGAGAUACGAAUAAUCCCUUGUCGGGAUGUUUUGAGUAUAUUGAAUUACUCCCUUGCCGGGAUUUAGUUGUGUUGUUAUGUUCCCUUGCCGGGAUAUCUUCACUGGUUAUUCUUCUCUUGCUCCUUAUUUGUGACUGUUGUUUGGAUGAGGAAAUAUGAUAUUAGUGGGUCUGAUUGCAUGUCGCAAUGGUGUUUAAUGAUAUGGAUCGGGUUGCGCGCCGCAACAAGUAUAAAUAAUAUCAAUACGGACUGGGUUGCACGCCGCAACAAUAUCAAGAUAUGUGGAUCAUGCUGCUCGCCGCAACAGUGUAAUUGAGUGACUGGAUCGGGUUGCUUGUGGCAACAGAGUAUGGGUUAAAUGUGUUAUUUUUGGAUUUGAGCUUUGUUGGUUGAUCUACCUUUAUUUUGGACUCCUUGUUUAUAACUGUUGUCUCCCCAGCAUGUUUCCCCCUCCUCGUAUAAACUGCUUAUCUCCGUUUACUUUCUGCAAAGUAUAUUUCAUAUAUGUACAGGUUUAUCUGGUAGUCUAGUCUAGCAUCGUCACUAUUUCGCCGGGGUUAGGCCGGGCACUUACCAGCACAUGGGGUCGGUUGUGCUGAUGCUACACUAUGUGUAUAUCUUUUCACAGAUCCAGGAGCAGCUUUUGGACCACAGCAUCAGUAUUGAUCGUGAGCUGACUUCAGUCUAGGGACUUGCGAGGCAGCCUUGCUGACCUCUGCAGGCUGGAGUCCCUUUCUCUUUAUUAGUUCAUUUUCUUUGUAUCGAGACAAACACUGAUCUAUUUCAUUCAGACUUUUGUUUUAGUACUCUAUAGUAGUUCGUGAGUAGUGAUACCAUACUUUGGGUAAAUGUGUAUUCAGACUUCCGUAUUCUUUCUUUUUUCAGUUAUAUAAGUUUUAAAGACUUCCGUUUUAUUUAAUUGUUUCAUUUCAUCUAUAUUAUCGAGAAUGUUAACUAAAAAAUGUUUAAAUGUUGGCUUUCCUAGCUCCUAAUAAUAGGCGCCAUCACGACUCCCCGUGGUGGGAAAUCCGAUUCGUGACAUCAAUGCACAUCCUCGUCGACCCAUCCUUUUUCUUCACAAAUAACACUGGCGCACCCCAAGGCGACACACUAGGUCUAAUGCAACCCUUCUCAAGCAAAUCCUGCAACCGAUCCUUUAACUCUUUCAACUCUGGCGGGGCCAUGUGAUACGGAAAAAUGGAAAUGAGCUGCAUGCCCGGAGCCAGAUCAAUACAGAAAUCAAUAUCCAUGUCGGGCGGCAUACCCAGUAUGUCUGAA
rnacentral:lncRNA from 1 species